GGAAAGAUGGCCGAGUGGCCGAAGGCGCUUCCCUGCUAAGGAGGUAUACCCCGUUAAAGGGUAUCGAGGGUUCGAAUCCCUCUCUUUCCG
rnacentral:tRNA from 1 species